GGGCGAUUAGCUCAGCUGGUUCAGAGCACCUGCCUUACAAGCAGGGGGUCGGCGGUUCGAUCCCGUCAUCGCCCA
rnacentral:tRNA from 1 species